rnacentral:rRNA from 1 species
UACGUAGGGGGCAAGCGUUGUCCGGAAUUAUUGGGCGUAAAGCGCGUGUAGGCGGCUCGGUAAGUCUGCUGUGAAAGUCCAGGGCUCAACCCUGGAAUGCCGGUGGAUACUGUCGAGCUCGAGUCCGGAAGAGGCGAGUGGAAUUCCUGGUGUAGCGGUGAAAUGCGCAGAUAUCAGGAGGAACACCAAUGGCGAAGGCAGCUCGCUGGGACGGUACUGACGCUGAGGAGCGAAAGCAUGGGGAGCGAACAGG